rnacentral:rRNA from 1 species
AUUGAACGCUGGCGGCAGGCCUAACACAUGCAAGUCGAACGAGUGGCGGACGGGUGAGUAAUGUCUGGGAAACUGCCUGAUGGAGGGGGAUAACUACUGGAAACGGUAGCUAAUACCGCAUACCAUCGGAUGUGCCCAGAUGGGAUUAGCUAGUAGGUGGGGUAAAGGCUCACCUAGGCGACGAUCCCUAGCUGGUCUGAGAGGAUGACCAGCCACACUGGAACUGAGACACGGCCCAGACUCCGACGGUAGGCAGCAGUGGGGAAUAUUGCACAUUGGGGGCAAGCCUGAUGCAGCCAUGCCGCUUGUAGGAAGAAGGCCUUCGGGUUGUAAAGUACGUUCAGCGGGGAGGCGUUACCCGAAGAAGAAGCACCGGCUAACUCCGUGCCAGCAGCCGCGGUAAUUC